AGAGUUUGAUCCUGGCUCAAGAUGAACGCUUUCGGCGUGCUUAACACAUGCAAGUCGAACGAAGCACUUUACCGGAUUUCUUCGGGAUGAAAGUUUUGUGACUGAGUGGCGGACGGGUGAGUAACGCGUGGGUAACCUGCCUCAUACGGGGGGAUAACAGUUAGAAAUGACUGCUAAUACCGCAUAAGACCACAGGAUUGCAUGAUCCGGUGGUAAAAACUCCGGUGGUAUGAGAUGGACCCGCGUCUGAUUAGGUAGUUGGUGGGAUAACGGCUCACCAAGCCGACGAUCAGUAGCCGACCUGAGAGGGUGACCGGCCACAUUGGGACUGAGACACGGCCCAAACUCCUACGGGAGGCAGCAGUGGGGAAUAUUGCACAAUGGGGGAAACCCUGAUGCAGCGACGCCGCGUGAGCGAUGAAUUAUUUCGGUAUGUAAAGCUCUAUCAGCAGGGAAGAAAAUGACGGUACCUGACUAAGAAGCACCGGCUAAAUACGUGCCAGCAGCCGCGGUAAUACGUAUGGUGCAAGCGUUAUCCGGAUUUACUGGGUGUAAAGGGAGCGUAGACGGAGAGGCAAGUCUGAUGUGAAAACCCGGGGCUUCCCCCCGGGGCCUCCCUUGGAAAACUGUUUUUUUUAGAGUGUCGGAAAGGUAAGUGGGAUUCCUUGUGUAGCGGUGAAAUGCGUAAAAUAUAAGGAGGGACCCCCGUGGCGAAAGGGGGCUUACCGGACGAUGACUGACGUUGAGGCUCGAAAGCGUGGGGAGCAACCAGGAUUAGAUACCCUGGUAGUCCACGCCGUAAACGAUGACUGCUAGGUGUCGGGAGGCAAAGCCUUUCGGUCCCGCAGCAAACGCAAUAAGCAGUCCACCUGGGGAGUACGUUCGCAAGAAUGAAACUCAAAGGAAUUGACGGGGACCCGCACAAGCGGUGGAGCAUGGGGUUUAAUUCGAAGCAACGCGAAGAACCUUACCUGCCCUUGACAUCCGGCUGACCGGCGAGUAAUGUCGCCUUUCCUUCGGGACAGCCGAGACAGGUGGUGCAUGGUUGUCGUCAGCUCGUGUCGUGAGAUGUUGGGUUAAGUCCCGCAACGAGCGCAACCCUUAUCUUUAGUAGCCAGCAUUUCGGAUGGGCACUCUAGAGAGACUGCCAGGGAUAACCUGGAGGAAGGUGGGGAUGACGUCAAAUCAUCAUGCCCCUUAUGGGCAGGGCUACACACGUGCUACGAUGGCGUAAACAAAGGGAGGCAGACCUGCGAGGGUGAGCAAAUCCCAAAAAUAACGUCUCAGUUCGGAUUGUAGUCUGCAACUCGACUACAUGAAGCUGGAAUCGCUAGUAAUCGCGAAUCAGAAUGUCGCGGUGAAUACGUUCCCGGGUCUUGCACA
rnacentral:rRNA from 1 species